UGAUACCAAGGGCCUUGUUAGCAGGCACAGUGAAACCCAAGUCAAGAAGCAGUGCCUCACCACCAAGAGAAUGUACCUCAGUAACCGUGUGGCAGGCGUGAUCUGGAUCUUCUACAUCAGGAUCCUUCUUGUAGAUGCGGAACCAGGUCCUACUGGAUGGAUCACUCUCAACCAACAAAACCUCUCCUGAUGAUGUUGUAACCGCAAUGCUAGAAUCGUACCUCUGAUCAUGACGAGAAAGCAUUGGGAAUGGUGUUUGACCGGUAAUGUCCUUGAAGAAACCUUGCGGUCCAGACAGAUCAAAGACUCGAACAAAACGACGACUUGUUGAGACGUAGAGGCGGGUACCACAUAGCACCAUAUCCGACAAGCCAUCAUACUUGUGAAAGGCAUAGUCAUCGAAAACGAGAGGAAUGUCAGUGUAAUGAGAAUCCCCAUUCUUGCAGAAGCUCAUGUAAGAGUGGCCAGGGAGGUCGAAGAGCCACACCACGACGUACUCUUUUCCACUCUCCGAAACCCACAAAAGUCCCCUCACCACAUCAGCACUCAGAUCCCCGUAAAUAGCGCCAGACUCCUCCCUUAUAAAUUCUCUAUCUCCCACGCGCUUGACAAUACAAUCAGCUGACUCAAUCGACUCUAGAGACGGAAGAGGGAUCGUUUCCUUACUACACACGUCUAUGAUAUAUAAAUUGGAACCAGAAUCUAACACCAACAGCCAGUUGCCCGAGUUUGCCAGGAAUCUACACCCUGGAAAGUCUCCCAGGUUAGUCUGGAUAUUGCCUUCUAUAGGGUCGUACAGCACACAACCACCGUCUCUCGGAAAAAGCAUCAGCCCUGGAGAUCUGCUUGACUGGGGGAUCGUCAGCUUUAAACUCCGAUGUUGAUCCGGCAAAUUCAUCGUGAGGCAGAUUCUAGCGUUUGUGGCCUGAACAGUCACUGUGUAUAUAUAUAUAUAUAUAGAGUCAAUUAGCUAAAAACACAUAAAAAGGAAAAAAAUAAGGUUUUGUUGAAAAAAGGAAAGUAAAAAAUUACGUAAGGGCAUCAGCAUUGCUAGAUAUGCAAUUGCAUAUCUUAGUAUUACUUUAAUAAUAUAAUUAGGUUAAGAGAUUUUGGUAAGAUACAUGAGUAAAAGUAAAGAUUAUUGGUAGAAGUUUUGGUAGGUUCUUAGCAAAAUAUUAAAUUUUGUUUUUUUUGUAAAUUGUUUGGUAGGAUUUUAUGAUAAAACAUAUAACAUUAAACAUAUGAAUAUUACAAAGUUGAAAAAAAAAAUUACAAAGUAGAAAAAAAAAUUACAAAGUUGGAAAAAAAUUACUGAUACUGUUAAAAAAAAUUACAAUAACAUAAAAGUCACCGAUUUUAAUUUUAAGGUCCAAAUUUAUCCCAUAUAUGUUCGAUCAAAUCAUGUUUCAAUUGUUGAUGGACUGGUCUAUCCCGAACUCUUGCUCGACGAUCAAGUGAACUAAAAAUCUCUGUAGGCAUCUUAACGCAAAAUGAAACAUCCUGAUCUUGAAACGUCUCAUCUUGAUCGUCUGUACGUCGUUCAUCUUCGACAAUCAUAUUAUGGAGUAUGAUACAUGCUCUCAUAAUAUUGGCUAUCUUCGAUUUUUUCCAUAAACUAGAUGGAUUUUUAAUAACGGCGAAUCUAGCUUGUAGGACUCCAAAGGCACGCUCAACGUCUUUUCGGACUGAUUCUUGGGCUGUAGCAAAUAGGGAAUGUUUUGGACCCUGUGGUAGUCGGAUAGAUCGAAUAAAUGUCGCCCAUUCUGGAUAAAUACCAUCAGUGAGAUAGUAGGCCAAAUUGUACUCCCUUCCGUUAACAUGGAAGUUGACUUCCGGAGCAACUCCGUUAAUAAUGUCAUCAAAAACAGGUGAUCGAUCAAGAAUAUUUAGAUCGUUCAUAGUACCUGGAGCUCCAAAAAAUGCAUGCCAUAUCCAGAGGUCAUAAGAAGCUACGGCCUCGAGGACAAUCGUUGGUUUAUCGGUUCCUCGUGAAUACAUACCAUGCCAAGCGGUGGGGCAAUUCUUCCACUCCCAGUGCAUACAGUCGAUGCUUCCAAUCAUCCCGGGAAAUCCACGUUGUUCUCCCUUAUGUAGUAGUCUUUCAAGAUCCUCCGGUGUUGGACGUCUUAGGUAUUCAUCGCCAAACAAGUCGAUAAUUGCGGCAGUAAAUUGGUGCAAGCAAUUCCGCGCUGUUGUUUCACCAAGUCGAACAUAUUCGUCUACCGUAUCGGCCCCACCACCAUAUGCUAAUUGACGAAUUGCGGCCGUGCAUUUUUGGAUCGGUGAUAGACUUGACCUUCCAAGUGCAUCUUGUGUAGGAGCAAAAUAGUGAACUUCCGUAGAGAGACGGUGGACAAUGCGCAUGAACAACGGCUUACUCAUUCGAAACCGUCGCCGGAAUAUAUUGGGCGGAUAUGUUGGAGUUUCCGAAAAAUAAUCAUUCCAGAGCUUUCGAUGGCCUUCUUCCCGGUCUCUCUCGAUAAAUAUACGUUUUUUCCGCUCUUUCGGUUCCAGAAUAGUAUCAGGGAUUUCUAAUAAAUCUUCAAAGACUGAUUCAAAUUCAUCAUCAUUGUCAUCAUUAUUGUGGUAAUGGUAAUGAGAUGAAGAUGCCAUUUUUAGGGAAAAAAAAUUAUAGUGUUGAAAUGAGUAGAUGAAAUUGCUUUAGAGAAUUGAAAUGAGUAUAUGUUGAAUGAUCGAACGUUCUCUCAUAUUUAUAGAGAACCAUAUGUCUUCCCGUGUUGUGUUUCUUUUCAAAUUAUACACGGGGUGGAUUCACGGGUAUGAGUGAUGUUUUGGAUUUUCAUGAUGUUUUGGAUUAUAAUUCACGGGUAAGGAGUUUUAUAAAGGUCACGGGUAUGGGGUUUAUAAAGAUCACGGGAUUUGUAGAGGAAAGAAACAAAAUAGCUUUGAUUCAAAAGUACUAAAACACGACUUACAAAAUAGCAUUGAUACAAAGCUGAUAACACGUAGAGGAAAGUUGAAGAUGAUAAUACGACAUUACAUAACAUAGCCAAGUCUCGCAAACCAUCGUCUUGCAUCACUUAAAGGCGAUCAACAGACCUAUUACAACUAAAACUAUGAGCAUUACACCAAUAACUACUUCAACCCCACCGAUAACAGUAGAUUUCUUCUUAGCUAAUUUCUCCUCAACUAACUUCUCUAGUCUAACUAGCUUCUCCUCUGUCUCAAGGUCAGACAUUAAGUUAAGAUUAUCUACCUUUUCCUCUAAUAGAAAUAGCUGGUUUUCCCUCGCCUUCAUCUCCUCCAUCACGGCGACGUCCCACCACUUCCAUACAUGGCAGUCGCCGUCAUCAACGUGGUCGCAUGUGUAGUACAGUCUCCCUGGAUCGGUGCUUGUUCUUGAUGUUGCUAAACGUGGUUGGCCACCACAGUAACAAGUGUGUGGGAAACCGAACUCCACCUCGGGUUGCGGAGGAUACGUAGCCACUUCACCAUAAUUCAAGCUUAUUUCAGCUUGGUCACGACGGAUUAACUCCUCCGUCUCGCUGUACCCACUGUCAGCCCUGUCACCAUACGGAUCCGAGCUUGAAGGUUGGCUGUAGCUGUACCUUCCCAUAGAUACUAAACCUGCAAAAACAAUUAGAUGGCCAAGGUUAAUGAACGAUGACAGUAGAAAUACAAACCAGAGAACAAACACAAAGGAUUUAUACCAAGAUUGCAACCAGAGAACAAACAGACAUACAUUGAUCUUCAACACAUACAUUAAUAAAACAGAGACAUAUAUUAAAAAAAAAAAACAGAAAAGCAAACACCAAGCUUUUUUAAAAACAAGGGAAGAACUAUUUCUCAGAACAACAGGUUUAGUAGCUUAUUCUUGACAACUUCUUCAGCCACACUCAGUGGUUCUGUUCUGGCUAAGAGAGUGUCUAGAAUAGCGAGCUUUGAUAGUCUCUCCUUCCUAUCCAAAUCAUCCUUCUUCAUCUCCCAAUCUUCCCUCUUCAUAUCCAUAAUUGUUGCAUACUCAGCCACUGACUUUCCUUUACCCGUGUUCCUAUUAGCCUUAGCGGCCUUUAUACCUUCAGGCCGGACCUCAUCAUCAGCAGCAGUCGUGUUUGUACUCUGACAAGGAGUCUCACAACCUUUUCGUUUAGAAGUGCCACUAGGUUUAGGAGUGUUGAGGCUUAGCCACUUUUGUUCAAACCUCAGAAGACACCACGCAUGCUCUAGAGUAAAUUUCUUCUUGUGAUCAGCGAAGUAGAUGUCGUGUGCCACCUUGAGAACAUCGUUCUCACUUUGACCAGAGGUGAUCUGUCUCUCUGCUGCUGCAUAUGCAGCACAGAACUUGUUAGUGAAAUCGUUAAUCUUGUGCCACCUCUGCUUUAUAUUGAGAUGCUCUCUUCGGUCACCACUCUGUACAGCAUGUGGAGAUGCAGCAUAAUAUUCACCAACUCGGGACCAGAAAGUGCCUAGCUUCUGUGAAUUUCCUACAACCGGGUCUUUAGACGUGUUUAUCCAAGCGCUGAUUAUAACCUCGUCAUCGGCUGGUGUCCACUUCUUUCUCUCCUUAGAGCCCACUGGUGUCUCGGUUUCUUGUGAACUAAAAGGAGGGAUCUCUGAUGACUGUUGUGAUUCUCCAAUGUGGACACCCGGUUGGUAACUUUCAUAAGAAAAGUUCUGACUGUUAAGGAGGCCGACUAAACUAGGGGACUGACCAUAUGGAUUCAAUGGAUUCCUUGAAUCCAUAACGAUUACAAUAAAAGAGAUUAAAUAAGAGAGACCCGAUAGAAACCGGAGACUAGUUUGAUUUAGAAAACAAGAGUGAAAGAAGGUGGUUGUUAAAUAGAUGAGAAAGUUAAGGAUGGUCAGUAAUUACCUAACCAUAAACAACCAGGGUCUAAUCAUCAGUUACUACACCCAUAGCAACCAAAAAAAGCAAUCAAGUAACUAAAUUAUAUUGCCACAUUAUUUACUACACACAUUGCGGUUAGAAACAAACAAGAUCCAAUCAUAUAGCCACAAACAAACAGAUUAUACUAGUCUAGACUACGACCAAACAAACUAAAACACCAAACCAUUUUUAAAGCGCGAACCAUAGUAACAAAAUCUUUAACCAUCUCACAUAAAUAGAAAUCCUCAUUAAAUUCCUCCUAACAGUUCACUCAACUACAAAGCAUUCAAGUUCCUCUUACAGCAUUCAAGUAAUAACUCUUCACACAACUACAAAGCUAUACCCAAAUCACUUCACACAAGUACAGCUAUGUAAGCAGUCCUUCACCACAAUUCACUUCAAUUUUGGAUCACACAUCAACACAGACCAUGCUUUUACUAUUUUUUAAAACCUUUAACCUCAUUAAAACGUUUACCUACCAGACGAUCUAAGGCAAAAAGAUCCUUUCUUUAUAUUCACAGAACUCAUUUUCUCAUUGUAAAGCAAAUGAGAAAACAUGUUUAAUUUAUAAAGAAACCAUUCUUUGUCUUAAAGAACACAUAAACAACUCAUCGAUUCAACAAAAGAAAACAUGUUUAAUUUACAUAACAAGUCAAGGAAAGUAGAGGACAACUCAAGUUGAUUAACACAGAAUGAUUAACCAACCCAUUCUUAACAACUCUACUAAAGGAAUCGAUUAACACAAAAACAACUCAAGUUUAAUUAACUACCAUACGAAUCCGAAGAAAACUUUUACUCCAACGAAUUCACAAAUCAGUAAAUUAACUCACUAAUAAGACAAUGAAUCAGUCAAUUCCACUUCCUAUUAAGCAUACAACAAGCAAACGGAGUAGAGAGAACGAAGACACACCUGGUUUCGGAGGAGAAGGUUUCGAUGUGAGAGAGAAGUGGGAGACGUUGAGAAUCGUCACAGAUUUCGAUUUCCCACUACAAUACCCAAGCAUGCAAGAUCAAAUCAAACCCACAAACCAAAAAAAAAAAAAAUGGUGAUUAAAUCUGGGAAAAUCGCAACAGGGAGAUCACAGAAGAACCCGUACCAGCGGUAGAUUAGAUUCGGCGGAGAGGAUGACGAUUUAACGAGAGCUCGGUGUCGGAUUUUUCUUGCCAGAUUGCGAGACUGAAUCCCCCGUCGAGAUUGAAGAAAGAGAGAGAGAGGAGACGAGAAGAAUGAAGUCGAGAAUGCUCGAUACCUCCUCGACCUCUACCCCUUCGGUCUUCCUAUCAUCUCUUGACACGUGCAACCGAAGGACGCGUUGAGAAAGUUCUAAUUUUGUUAACGUCCCACGAUUAUUACCUUAAUUUGUAUUUAUUUUUUUCCUCUUAUUUGUUAAGAUACGUGAUAAGAUGCUGCGAUGCUGAUGCCCUAAGUACCUAUAACACUAAAAAGUGAAGUUUCCAUAUAAUAUAAAGAUAUAGUAAGUUACUUCUGUACCCAUACGAAAAUUUGCUCUUGAUUUUCUUACCUAAGAUAAAAAAAAAUAUUAAAAAUUUGUUAAAUUUUUUUAUAUUUAUCUAGAUUUUGUAAUCCAAACAUGAGUGGUUCGUUUCUCCAUCCAGAUAAGCUAUCUGAGUGAAAUGAGAGUUUUGUUCGUUUAGACAUUAAAAAUAUAAGUCAUCUGGAUGGCUCAUCUGAAUGAGUUUUAAAAAUUUAGGUUUAAUUUUGAAAAUCACAUCCAAAUUGGAUCAUCUAGAUGGAUGGAGAUGAGUUUGUCAAAAUCGUAUAAUGUCUAUUAUACGUUCUGUAUGUAAUUAACAAAUUACAAACUCAAACCUAAUAUCUUUUUAUCACUCAUUAAAUACGACAAAACCAUAAAAAAAAACUUUUUUCCACUAAAACUGCAAAACACUUUUUUCGCCAAAACAACAACACAAUUUUUCACCAAAAUCGCACUUUUUCAUAAAAAUAUACUUUUCCGCCAAAUCAGAUUUUUCCGUCAAAACCAGAAAAAUGCACUUUCACUUCAAAGCACGUUUUCCCGCAAAAACUGCAAACUAGCAAAAACAUGUUUCCCGCCAAAACCGCAAAAGCGUAUUUUUCCGCCAAAAAUGUAAAAACUCGUUUUCCCACAGAAACCGUAAAAACGCGGUUUCUUGCCAAAAACACAAAAUUGCAAAAUGUAAUUUCCCACAAAACCGCAAAAACAUGUUUUCCGCUAAAACCGUAAAAACGAAGUUUCCUGCCAAAACCGCAAAAAACGCGUUUCCCACAAAAACCGUAAAGUCGCAUUUUCCCGUCAAAACCGCAAAACACGUUUUCCGCUAAAACCGUAAAAAUGAAGUUUCCUUCCAAAACUGGAAAAACACAUUUUCCCGCCAAAACAACAAAAAACGCGUUUUCCGCCAAAAACGUAAAAUUGCAUUUUCCCGCCAAAACCGCAAAAAUACUUUUUCCGCUAAAACGAGGUUUUCUGCCAAAACCGCAAAAUGCGUUUUUCCGCAAAAACUGCAAUACGCAGUUUCUUGCCAAAACUGCAAAAACGUAUUUUACUGCCAAAACCGCAAAAACGCCCCCCUCCCCCCCCCCAAACCGNNNNNNNNNNNNNNNNNNNNNNNNNNNNNNNNNNNNNNNNNNNNNNNNNNNNNNNNNNNNNNNNNNNNNNNNNNNNNNNNNNNNNNNNNNNNNNNNNGCAAAAACGCCCCCUCCCCCCAAAACCGCAAAACGUGUUUUCCAGCCAACACCACAAAAUUGUGAUUUCUUGCCAAAACUGCAAAAGCGUAUUUUACUGCCAAAACCACAAAAACGCGUUUUCCCGCCAAAAUAUAUUUCCUGUCAAAAUCGCAAAAAACGCGUUUUUCCGUAUAUAUAUCAUAUACGAUAGAUAAGAUUGAUUGGUUUGAUUUAUUUAAUCUAAAAUGAUUGCGAAUAAACAAGAGCGGUCAUUUGAUUAUAUGUGUAAGCCAAUUUAUUAUAUAAUAGUAACUGAUUUCUUAGUUAUUUAAUAUAUAAUUAUUAUUUUAUUAUUUUAUAAUAUGCAGAAAAAUAUAAAAUAAGUGUUUAUGCACAAUGCGCAGAUCUUAACCUAAGUAUGUAUCUAUUUAAUAGUUUUGAAUUUUAAACAUUUUCUAAAUCCCAUUCCAAAAUAAAAGAAAGAAAUGAGAAUAAACUCAAAAAUCAAUAUUUAUAUCGAACAAUAACCAAAAUGACACAAAAUAAGAAAAAUAUCGAAGAUAGAUAGGAUUGAGUCGAUUGACACGUGAACGUAAAAUUCUCAUAACCAUAAUUAACUUUUAAAUUGCUAAAUCAUGAUAUAAAAUCGAGCUAGCAUAGUUUCAUUGUAACCAAAUAGUAGACAUGAGAUUCUUCGGCCUAAACGUUACGUUUUUAUGCGAUAAAUAAUUUUUGGACCUAAAAUAUUUUUAAAAAUGAUCAGUUCAUUAGUAAACAAAAUUAUUUAAUUAACAAAAAAGUUUUUAAAAAUUGUUUAAGGGCCAAAUAUAUUAAUUCGAUCAAUAAUAUAAAUUUUGUUUAAUACGAUAUUUCUUAAAUAGUUUUCAUAUAAAUUUAUCUUGCGCAAGGCGCAUGUCUUAUCCUAGUUUAAUUAAGAUAACGGUAAUUUAAACCUAUCAAUAAUUAGAAAUAAAAAGUUAAUCAAUUAUAAUCCCAUAUAUAUUAAUUGAGCAAUAUUCGAAAAGAUGUAACCUGAAUUUUAUAAUAAUUAAAAAAGACUUCUUGCUUAUGUGUCAAUCAAUUCGGUAGUUAAUUAAUCUUACGUGUCAGCCUCACAUUGAAAUUGAAAAAAAUGUUGGUCCAAUUCAAUUUUUAUAUUUCACUAGAAACAUUUAAUACCAACUAUAUGAUAUCAUAUGAUAUUAACUAAAUCAAAGUGGCUAUUUAUUAUAUAUUAUAUCCUUAAAUAAAACCUACGGAAUUACCUAAUGAUUUUAAAUAAUAUAUUAAAAAGCAUAAUUCCCAGAAGGGAGAAACCAUCGAGCAUCCAUAAGAUUCAUCUUGUCAAGAUCGGGAAAGCGAUGGAGAGUCUUCGUUGCAAGAUUGAACACACAGAUGUCAAGGUCGGGAGAUGCGCAUUGGCAGGGACGAUAGUGACGGGUGAAAUAGAUGGAGUCUGGUUUGAUAUCAAGGGCCUUGUUAGCAGGCACAGUGUAACCCAAGUCAAGAAGCAGUGCCUCACCAUCAAGAGAAUCUACCUCAGUAACCGUGUGGCCAAAGAGAUCAGGGUUUUCAAUAUCUGGAUUCUUCUUGUAGAGGCGGAAGCAGGUCCUAUUGCAUGGAUCACUCUCAACCAACAGAACCUGCCCUGAUGUUGUAACCGCAAUGCUAGAAUCGUAUGACAUAUCUGCAGAAAGCAUUGGGAAUGGUGUACCGUCGGUAAUGUCCUUGAAGAAACCUUGCGGUCCAGACAGAUCUAGGACUCGAACAUAACGACGACUUGUUGAGAGAUAAAGACGGGUACCCCAUAGCACCAUCUCCGACAAGCCAUCUAACCAGUGCAAGUCUUGGUGGUGAAACAGUGGAAUGUCAGUGUAAUGAGUAUCCCCAUUCUUGCAGAAGCUCAUGUAAGAGUGUCCAGGGAGGUCGAACAACCACACCACGACGUACUCUUUUCCACUCUCCGAAACCGAGUGUCCAGGGAGGUCGAACAACCACACCACAACGUACUCUUUUCCACUCUCGGAAACCCACAAAAGGCCCCUCACCACAUCAGCACUCAGAUCGCUGAAAAUACUGUCAGAAUCUUGCCUUACAAAUUUUCUAUCUCCCACACUCUUGACAAUACAAUCAGCUGAAUCAAUCGACUCUAGAGACGGAAGACGGAUCUUUUUUCUCGCUAAACGCAUCUACGAUGUACAAACUGGAUCCUGAAUCUAACAACAAGAGCCAGUUGCCCGAGUUUGCCAGGAAUCGACACCCUGAAAAGUCUCCAAGUUUCCUUUGGAACGUGCCUUCUUUCGGGUUGUACAGCACACAACCACCGUCUUUCGGAAAAAGCAUCAGCCCUGGAGAUUCGUUGCGUCGUUUGAGGGAAGAAGUCAUUAUCAGGAGGCAGAUUCUCGCGUUGCAGUUAUUGUGUGUAAUAUAGGGUACCGCUUAGGGUUUGUGGCACACACUGAAAAAGUGAUAGUUUGUUAUUAGUCCCAUUUUUUUUUCUCUUUUCCUAUAUGAACAAAUACAACAUUUUUUUUUUAACAACAUAGCUUUAUUUAAUUAGAUUGUGAAAGGAUAAUACAAAUAUUUAAUCAACCAAACAGGAGGAAUAUGAAAACUAACAGAAGAAAUAACUUGUUGAGUUGCUUUUCUUGCCAAAGCAUCAGCCGCUUGAUUCUUUUCUCGAUUAACAAAUUCCAGUGAACUUUCCGGGAGCAUCAUCAUCCAAUAUCGAAUAUCACAGAUCAAGUUGCCAAUUUCUAUAUGAUCCUUCACUUGAUUUAUAAUAUUGCAUAAUUCCUUAUUAUCACCUUCGAACCAAACUCUUUGCAAUCCCCGAAUCCAAACUUGCUGGAGAGCAUAUAAAAAACUCGAUGCUUCACCCACAAGCGAAGACUGUUGCCUUUCCAAUUGCGCGUAUCCAGAUCCCAGAUGACACCCUUUAUCAUCUCUCAAUAUCCAUCCUAAACCAGCUUUAUCAUUGUUCCCAGAGCUAUAAUCAAAGUUACAUUUAAUCCAGCCACUGGGGGGCGGCUCCCAUUUUGAGGAUUUAACUUCUAUAACUCGGUGUUGUUGUCCAGGUUGAAUAACAUUACGAUGCCAUUCAAUAUUAGCAUCCAUCGCACGGCGGACAUCCUCUAUAGGAUGUACAUUUCUCUUGGAGAAGAUAAACUCAUUUCUUGACUUCCAAAUCAACCACAACAUCCAGAAUACAAGUAACUUGUUUAUUUCAUGAUCGCCCAUUGACUCCAUCACCCCAAAAAGAUUUCUAAUAUUAUCUUCCAGAUUAUUAGAAAAAUUUUGAGUAACAAGCAUACCUGAACAACGCCAGAUUGCAUAUGCGUGAGGGCAUAGGAACAACACAUGAUUAAUGGAUUCAUCAUCAAGGCAACAUCUUUGGCAUGUUGGAUCCAUAUUAAUUCCCCGCGUACAUAAUCUAGUAGCAGUAGGAAGAGCUCCUGAUACCACCCUCCAUAGAAAUUGCUUAACUUUUGGGAGAAUAUUCAAAUCCCAUAUCUUUUUCUUUACUUCCAGUGAUCCAUCGGGUCUCAAUAUUUCCUCCCCCUCAUGAUAAUGGUGAGUAGCAGCCCAGUACCCAGAUUUGACAGUAUAUUCCAUAUCCUUGGUAAAAGGCCAUACGAGCUUAUCUUCUGUAGGGUAUCUAGACAACUUGAUCUUCAAAACCUGAACUAUAUCCUGCGGCUGUAAAAAUUCUUCUAGUUUCUGAAGAUCCCAAGAAAAAGUUUCCUUAUCAAUAAAAUCCUCCACCUUCAUAUUUUGAUUAUAAGAAACUUGUACAACACGUCUUGGAGGAUUUUCCGGUAACCAAUGAUCUAACCAAACAUUAGUGUUCUUUCCAUCUCCAAUCAUUGUUCUCAAACCUUUUUGAAGUAGUUCCUUUCCUACUUGAAUAGACUUCCAGCCAUAAGAGGCUUGCUUUGAAUUCGAUGACUGUAAGAAUGUCAACGAAUGAUGAUACCUUCCUUUGUAAAUCCUACUAAGGAGAGAGUUUGGAUUUUGCCAUAUUCGCCAUGCUUGUUUCGCCAAUAGAGCUUUGUUGAAACUAUAGAGGUCGCGAAAGCCCAUCCCCCCUUCUUUUUUUGGCAAGCACAAUCGUUUCCAAGAUAUCCAAGAAAUCUUCCUUCUCUCAUCUCCUGUUCCCCACCAAAACUCAGAGAGAAUGGAGUUUAUCUCAUCACAUAUUGUCUUUGGGACUAGAAAACAGCUCAUAGGAUAUACCGGUUUUGCUUGAAGAACCGAUUUUAUUAAGACCUCUUUACCUGCCUGCGAUAAAUUCUGAUUAUACCACUGAGAAGUAGCCUUUCUGAUUUGUUCCACAAUUCCUUUGAAAUCUUGAACUUUACUCUGACCAAACUGCUCUGGGAGACCAAGAUAUUUACCUCCACCUCCUGUUCGAUAAAUCUUCAAUAUAUUAUGAAUCCUAUUCUUCACUUGUUGAUCAACCCGCUUUCCAAAGAUGACUGAAGAUUUCUCUAAAUUAACUUUCUGUCCCGAAGUCUUCUCAUACAUAUCUAAUAUGUCUGCCAUACAUAAAGCAUUAUCCUCAUUAGCACGGCAAAAGAAGAGAGAGUCAUCAGCGAAUAAUAAGUGAGAGACCUUUGGGGCAAUGUCUAGAAAGUUUCAUCCCCUGAAAUCGAUUAGUUAUCUGAGCUUGAUCAAUCAUUUGGCUUAAGGCUUCAGCACAAAGGAGGAAAAGAUAUGGUGAUAGAGUAUCUCCUUGUCUUAUCCCCCUUGAAGGUUUUAUCAUUCCAUAUGGGCAACCAUUAAUCAGAACCGAAUAAGACACCGUAGUAAUACAAGACAUAAUCCAAGAUAUGGAGAUAGGAUGAAAUCCAAGCUUGGUCAUGAUGCUUUCUAAAAAACUCCACUCUACCCGAUCGUACGCUUUGCUAAUGUCUGUCUUGAUGGCCAUAUAUUGUUCAGAACAAUCUUUCUUAGACUUCAGAGCGCUUAUCAGUUCAUGUGCCACUAAAAUAUUAUCAGAAAUCUGGCGACCCGGAACAAAAGCAGCUUGUGAUUCAGAAAUUAUCACAUCCAAACACCUCUGAAUUCGAAUACCCAAAACCUUUGAUAUCAAUUUAUACGCCACAGUACAGAGACUUAUCGGACGGUACUCUCCCAUAUCUGCAGCCUCUGGAAACUUUGGAAGUAAUACUAUAUUUGUGUGGUUAAUCCCAUUAUCCAUGAUACCACUCUCAAAGAAUCUUCGAACCAUGUUACAAACAUCUGGACCGAUUGUAUCCCAAAAUUGUUUAUAAAAAGCAGCCGUGAAGCCAUCUGGGCCAGGUGCUCUGUCUGCUCCAAUGAGAUCCAAAGCGUCUUUUAUUUCUCUAUCUGUGACUGGGGCAAUGAGUUGAGCGUUCAUCUCCAUCGUGAUCUUAGGUUGAAUAUUAGGUAAGCAUUCGUCUAAUGGUAUUGUUGGAGUAGAAGAAAACAUGCUUUCAAAAUAAUCUUCAGCAACCUUUGCUAUAGUUUCCUCUUGUAUAUGGAAGACUCCAUUCUUAUCUCUCAUUUUCGAGAUUUUAUUUUUGCUUUUCUUCACUUUAGAAACCCCAUGGUAAAAUGGAGUGUUACGAUCCCCUAAAUUCAGCCACCGGUUCCUGCUUUUCAGCUUCCAAAACUCUUCUUCAUCUCUGUAUGCUUUAUUUAAGUUCACUCGUAGCUCUUGGAUUACUUCAAGUUGAACUGAGCUAUCUCGGAGAGCUUGAUCUAUUUGCCCUCUAAUCACACUUAUACGAACUGCAGAAUUCGUUUGGUGUCUUCUCUUCCAGUUAACAAUCUGAUUCCGACAAUGGCCCAGUUUCUGAUUCCAACCUCUGAUGAAUUCUGUCUGAUCCCAAGCUCCAGAAACUGUCUCCACAAAACUCUGAUCUUCGAAUAGUCUUUUAUCAUAGCAAAAGAGUCCUUUCCUUCGUUGAUAUUUGUAAUCAAUUGACACAAUCAUGGGUCUAUGAUCCGAUUCUGCAAUCUCCAAAUAUUCAGUACUAGAAUUUGGAAAUUUAUUCAUCCAUGAGGGGUUUACCAUCACUCUAUCCAAGCAGCAUUCAAUGAUAUCAUUUCUUCGACGACCAACCCAACUGAACUGAUUACCAGUAUGUUUGAGAUCCUUCAUGUCACAAAUCUGUAGCAUCGUAUUAAAAUUCUGAAAACUCGACAUUGAUCUUGUCCUUCCCCCUAUCUUCUCCUCUGAUUUUGUUAUCUCAUUACAAUCACCACACAACAUCCAAGGCCCCACACGGGUAGUGGCUAUUCUUUGAAGUCUUUCCCACAGAAGAUGUCUAUAUUUCGGUUGAGGGUGCCCAUAUACACAAGACAAAUAAAACUGAAAACAUUGAUAUUCAACAUGAAGGUCUACAAGUCUUUCAUCACUGGAAAUGCAAGAAACAGAAACAUAUGACUUCCAAAAUACAGCUAAACCACCACUAUAACCAAUCGGUGGAACUAAUAUCAUAUGAUCAAAACCAAGAUCCACCCCAAUAUCUCUAACAACAUCGUUAGCUUGCUUGGUUUCAAUCAGGAACAACAAGUCUGGAUGAUACAAACGUUGCAUCUCCUUUAGACGUCGAACUGUCAAGCGUUGUCCCAGCCCUCGACAGUUCCACACCUCGACUCUCAUGGUUCAUCUGGUGGAACCGGGCCCACCGCGCCUCUGUCGAUCUGUGGAUUGUUGUCAUGAGCUUGAUCCUGACCAUAAUCUUCCUGAAGCUUUCGCAGAGCAUUGAACUCAUGAGACAUCUUCAUCCUUCCAACAGGAAACUUAUCAACCAUCUCAGACUCCAUCCUUGGACGUUUACCCAGAGAAGAUAUCUCCUUUGAAACACCCUGAUCAUCCGCAUGCUGCAUCGCGGCAUGGAUAUGAUCCAUCUCAUGAUCGAAGUCCUCCUGAAGGAACGAUCCAUACUGGCUGAAACCAAACUCAGAGGAUCUACGAGCUUCCAUCGCCAGGAUUAUGUGAUCACUCUCCUCAUCUGAUUCAUUCUCUUGUCUCAAACACAUCUCAGUACCACUACCUCUCUGGCGACUAGAGCUUCCUUCUUCUAGCAGAGCAGCCACGAAAUCAUUCCUUCGCUUCAUCCGAACCUCACCAGUGUUUUGCUCAUAUCCUUGGCUAGUUAUAACCAUAGGAGCAGUAGAGCUAAAUUGCUGCAGCAAUGCAACAUGAGAACCAGGACCCGUUUCACCAUCAUUCACCUGAUCCAUGGGAAUGUCGUGAGCAGGACCAUCUGGUGCCACCGCUGCGUCCUCCUCAUUUUCCUCACCUCCGGCCUGGUCAUUUGGAGGAUCUUCUUCCUCAUUGUUAGCAUCCAUCUGAUCCACCACUGCUGCAGGAGGACAUUCACCGGAGUCAUGGGUAAUCAUCCCACACUGAUCACAAAAACCCCUGAGUCGUUCGUAACGGAACUUCAGCAGAGUAUUAACUCCAGGGGAGAAUUGGAAGUUUCUCUGAAACUUGAGAGGGUUGCCUACGUUCCAGUUGAGUCGAAUACGAACAAAUUCCACCGCAGCGUUAACACUUGGGUUGAAAUCCACCGUCAUGACUUCCCCCAUUCUAUCACCAAUGUUGUGGAUCACCUGUUCGGUAAGAUACUCCAAAGGAAUACCCCUAAUUUGCACCCACAGAGGUAUAUAGUUGAGAUCAGCGUCAUCCAUACCCGGAACCCAUCGACUAAUGAUCAGCAUUCUUUCAUUGAACGCCCAUGGACCUCUGUUAAUCACCGACAGAAGCAUUUCUUCGGUUGGAAAGACAAACUGGAACUUCCUCCUAUCAACGAUACGUCCAGAGAUGAGACCAGGAAGACCCCACAUUUUAGGCAGGGAGGUCAGGAGCGCCCUCACGUUUUGCUUCGUUUGCAUAGAUGGUCUCCCAAUCAAAGAAAAUUGAUUCACCCGGCGCGCUUCAUUACAAACCGCCGCAGAGAGAGGCACCGGAUCAUCAUCAAUACCCAAAUUCAGAUCCUGAAUCGCCCUUCGCAAAUUAUCCGCCAUGAUCGCAAGACUACAAUCAAAACGAUAUGUGUACAGGAUUUGUGAAGUGAUUUUCUGAAUCGGGGAGGAAAAAUUGUGAAGAUAUAUAAACCCCCCAUCCAUAACAAUAACUAUCAAAAACUGCUUCAUCGUGGUGAAGUUUGUACUCCACUACGGAGAUGGAAGAAUCAUGGGUGUUAACUUGCGUAAACCAACCCACUAUCAAAUCAAAUUGGGAACCAAAAGAUCUGGAUUCUUCAAAGAAAAACCAGAAGAAUAACCGCUUCACGAUCGCCUUAUCAAUCGCCAAUAACCGCUUCACGAUCGCCAUCGCUUCAAACUGCCCAAGCUUCUUAUUCAUCAAAAAUUCAAAAUUUCGAUUUUCAUUUUCACAGAAAUAAUGUUUAUUUGAUAGAUGAGUGUUCAUGUUAUUGUUUUAUAUAUUUUGAUUGAUUUAUAAAUCCAAGUAAAAUAUACAGAUUUUUUAAAAAUUUCGGAUUAGUAUUUACAAAUUCUGAGGUUUACUCUCGGAUUUGAGUCUUUGUAUCUUUAACAAAAAAAUCCAAACAAAUCUAUUCAAAUCGAUUAUAAAAUCAAAUUUAUUAGUAAAUCCGUACGAUUGAAUAACAGUUGAUUUGAUAUAGAAUUUAUGAAUAAUUAAACUAAAAGAGAAAGACUUGGGUUCACCCCUAUGGUGAACAUUUAGAUUCACCAACCAAUCAAAAAUUAGCAUUCUACAUGUAGUCUUUUUCAUAAAAAGAAACAAAAUAUUUCGAAUUUACAUCUUAAAAUAAAUAGAUAAAAAAUAAAUAAAAAAUAUUAGUAGCUGUAAAAAAAACAAAAUUCUAAAAAUUGUUAACGUCCACACUAAAUCGUAAACCCUAAAUCAUAAACACUAAACCUAAACCCUAAACACUAACCCCUAAAUUCUUAGAUAAACCCUAAACCCUUGUGCAAAUCAUAAAUCCUUAGAUAAACCCUAAAAGCUAAACCCUAAAAUUUAAAGUAAACCCUAAACCCUUGGGUAAAUCUGAAACCCUUGGGUAAAUCUUAAUCUUUGGGCAAAUUUUAAACCAUUGAAUAAAAUCUUUUGGGUUUAGGAUUUUAUCCGAAGGUUUAGGAUUUAUCUAAGAAUUUAGGGUUUAUCCGGUUUCUUGCCAAAACCGUAAAAACGUAUUUUACUGCCAAAACCGCAAAAAUGUGUUCUCCCCCCCCCCCCNNNNNNNNNNNNNNNNNNNNNNNNNNNNNNNNNNNNNNNNNNNNNNNNNNNNNNNNNNNNNNNNNNNNCCCCCCCCCCCCCCCCCAAACCGCAAAACAUGUUUUUCAGCCAAAACCACAAAAAUAUGGUUUCUUGCCAAAACUGUAAAAACGCAUUUUACUGCCAAAACCGCAAAAACGUGUUUUCCCGUCAAAACCACAAAAAUACAUUUCCUGUCAACAUCUCUUUAAAUUUAUAAGGAAAAAACGUAUUGAGACGAAACCUCUUUAAAUUUAUUAUCUUUUAGCAAAUUAUACAAACAACAAAAUCUUACUCAAACUGGAUAAAGUACAAGAGAUCACAUAUGCUCUGAAGCUCUUUCCAAAGCCUAACAACCAUUCAAAAAUCAUAUUUCUUACCCAACCACAUAAAACUCAUGAAAUCGGCUUGCAGAGGAGGAUGGUUUGCAAAACUAAGGCGGACAAGUCCAUGAAAUGAAAGAGAUCCAAAAUCAAAUUGAGAAAAUCAAGCGGAUAAAAGUACAAGAGAUGGCUUUAUUUUUUUUUUUUGCAUGGUUUGCAAACUUUGAGGGGGACAACGUCCAUGAAAGAGAAACUUUGAAAACCAAAAGCGCACUAGUUGUUGUUUCCUCAUUCUCUCUGAAGUUGAUGGAAAUUUAAUUCGCAAAGGUGAGGAUAAAUAAUAAAAUGAGAGAUAUCCACCACUCACAAAGUCUUAAAGUAAACAAAAUGUCAAGCAAGAUAAUAUGUUUCGUUAAGUCAACAUCCUAAACCUUUAUUCAAAAGCAUAAUAAAUAAAAGGAGAAGAGCAAAUUAAUUCCCAGAAGGGAGAAACCAUCGAGCAUCCAUGAGAUCCAUCUUGUUAAGAUUGUGAUAGCGAUGGAGGGUCUUCGUUGCAAGAUUGUACACACAGAUGUCAAGGUCGCGAGGUGAGCAAUGGCAGGGACGAAAGUGACGGGUGAAAUAGAUGGAGUCUGGUUCGAUACCAAGGGCCUUGUUAGCAGGCACAGCAAAACCCAAGUCAAGAAGCAGAGCCUCACCACCAAGAGAAUGUACCUCAGUAACCGUGUGGCAGGCGUGAUCUGGGUCUUCUACAUCAGGAUCCUUCUUGUAGAGGCGGAACCAGGUCCUACUGGAUGGAUCACUCUCAACCAACAAAACCUCUCCUGAUGAUGUUGUAACCGCAAUGCUAGAAUCGUAGGCGUAAUCAUGAUGAGAAAGCAUUGGGAAUGGUAUUUGACCGGUAAUGUCCUUGAAGAAACCUUGCGGUCCAGACAGAUCAAAGACUCGAACAAAACGACGACUUGUUGAGACGUAGAGGCGG
rnacentral:lncRNA from 1 species